rnacentral:rRNA from 1 species
ACGGGUGAGUAACGCGUGGGAACAUACCCUUUGGUUCGGAAUAACUCAGGGAAACUUGUGCUAAUACCGGAUACGUCCAGGGUCAAACCUGGAGAAAGAUUAAUCGCCGGAGGAUUGGCCCGCGUCUGAUUAGCUUGUUGGUGAGGUAAUGGCUCACCAAGGCGACGAUCAGUAGCUGGUCUGAGAGGAUGAUCAGCCACAUUGGGACUGAGACACGGCCCAA